CCUACGGGGGGCUGCAGUGGGGAAUAUUGGACAAUGGGGGCAACCCUGAUCCAGCCAUGCCGCGUGUGUGAAGAAGGCCCUCGGGUUGUAAAGCACUUUCAGUGGGGAAGAACGCCUGGUGGUUAAUACCCAUCAGGAAAGACAUCACUCACAGAAGAAGCACCGGCUAACUCCGUGCCAGCAGCCGCGGUAAUACGGAGGGUGCGAGCGUUAAUCGGAAUUACUGGGCGUAAAGCGCGCGUAGGUGGCUUGAUAAGCCGGUUGUGAAAGCCCCGGGCUCAACCUGGGAACGGCAUCCGGAACUGUCAAGCUAGAGUGCAGGAGAGGAAGGUAGAAUUCCCGGUGUAGCGGUGAAAUGCGUAGAGAUCGGGAGGAAUACCAGUGGCGAAGGCGGCCUUCUGGACUGACACUGACACUGAGGUGCGAAAGCGUGGGUAGCAAACAGGAUUAGAUACCCGAGUAGUC
rnacentral:rRNA from 1 species